UUACAGGUACUUCUAACACAUCUUACAAUGUAGUUAGUUAGGCCUGUUUGAACUAUAUCAAUUGUUACCUAAAGUGUUACAGUAUGUUAACCUAUACAAAUUGUUAAUUAUUUUGGUCAGUCUUGUCCAUCAGGUUUUUUUUUGUGUUUCUCCAGUGGUCUCUUCAGUGUCCUCCACUAUGACCAGAGUGGUCAAACCUGGGGAGACUGUCUGUAUGUCCUGUAACGUACCUAUGAAGACCUCGACAAUGUGGUUUGGACAAGAGUGCAACAAGACGCCCUUUGUCAUCAUAUCGGCCAAACAAUAUGACGUUAACGAAAAGAAAGUUCUAAAUAAAUUCCUCCAUGGCAACAACAGUGCAUUCAGCACAAUGUUAGAGGACAAUGGCUCCAUCAGUCUGACCAUCACAAAGAUGAAUGAGUCUUUGCUAGGAUUCUACUAUUGUACUUCAGGAAUCGACAAAGAACUUACAGUUGGAUCCGGUUACAUUCUUGAAUAUGAGAAGGGCAGUGUUUCACCUAAAAGAGAUGAUGAUGAUGGAAACAAUGAAUCAGACAGAAUAAAAACAGCCCAGGGACACAGCGACGAUGUACAGGUUUUUAUGAGUACUUGAUCUUUGAUCCUAAUGAUUGUGCAUAACGUUAAACAGAACUUUACCAAAACUAGACUCUUUCCUUUUUAAUGUUUUAUUCAAAUCCAAGCUGUUGAUUAGUUCUAAAUGGUCAGAUGCAAAUUCGGUGAAUUGUUAUAUGUUUAAACCUGUAAUAAUGCAUGAAAAACAAUAUGCAAUUUUUAAUUUCCAGGGUAUGGAACAGGAAGUGCAUUACACCUCCUUCUGUUUGUCAAAUGGAGAUCAUCGUGGCAAAAGAAAAAACACACAUCAUUAAUGUGAUCCUGUGUAUCUUUAUCAGAUAAUGUUACAUUUAGAACAUGCUGAAAUUAUGUUUUAAUGUGAAUACAGCUUCUAGUACAGAUAUCUACCUUGUGUACUGCAGUUGUACUAUGUUGUCCUAUUAAAUAUACAUGCCUUUUAUUGCUACAAUGUCCUUUAGCAUGUCUAGUUUUGUGUUCUAAUUGAAAAAAAACACCUUAACUGUGGCCUAUUAACUGCAUACAGUCACCUGCCCAAAUAAAGAUGAG
ensembl:lncRNA